UUUUAGAGAGCCAAACAUGAUUA
rnacentral:piRNA from 1 species